rnacentral:rRNA from 1 species
AGUGAACGCUGGCGGUAGGCCUAACACAUGCAAGUCGAACGGCAGCACAGUGAGAGCUUGCUCUUACGGGUGGCGAGUGGCGGACGGGUGAGGAAUACAUCGGAAUCUACUUUUUCGUGGGGGAUAACGUAGGGAAACUUACGCUAAUACCGCAUACGACCUACGGGUGAAAGCAGGGGAUCUUCGGACCUUGCGCGAUUGAAUGAGCCGAUGUCGGAUUAGCUAGUUGGCGGGGUAAAGGCCCACCAAGGCGACGAUCCGUAGCUGGUCUGAGAGGAUGAUCGGCCACACUGGAACUGAGACACGGUCCAGACUCCUACGGGAGGCAGCAGUGGGGAAUAUUGGACAAUGGGCGCAAGCCUGAUCCAGCCAUACCGCGUGGGUGAAGAAGGCCUUCGGGUUGUAAAGCCCUUUUGUUGGGAAAGAAAAGCAGCAGGUUAAUACCCCGCUGUUCUGACGGUACCCAAAGAAUAAGCACCGGCUAACUUCGUG